GACGAACGCUGGCGGCGUGGAUUAGGCAUGCAAGUCGGACGGUAGGGCUUUAUCGUAAGAUAGAGUUUGAGAGUGGCGAACGGGUGAGUAACACGUAGGAAUCUACCCUUAAGACGGGGACAACCCAGGGAAACUUGGGCUAAUACCGGAUGAGAGUGCGAGAGAUUGCAUUUAAAAGGAUGGCGAAAGUUAUCGCUUAGGGAUGAGCCUGCGGUCUAUUAGUUAGUUGGUGGGGUAAGAGCUCACCAAGGCGAUGAUAGAUAGGCGGCCUUAACGGGUGGUCGCCCACACUGGGGUUGAGAUACGGCCCAGACUCCUACGGGAGGCAGCAGUCGAGAAUAGUCUACAAUGGCCGGAAGGCUGAUAGUGCGACGCCGCGUGAACGAGGGAGCCCUUCGGGGUGUAAAGUUCUUUUCUAUACGAGCAGUGCUAUAUAUAUGGAUAGUAUAUAUAGAGGGAUAGUAGUAUAGGAAUAAGCAACGGCUAACUCCGUG
rnacentral:rRNA from 1 species